rnacentral:rRNA from 1 species
AUUGAACGCUGGCGGCAGGCCUAACACAUGCAAGUCGAACGAGUGGCGGACGGGUGAGUAAUGUCUGUGACAAUGCCUGAUGGAGGGGGAUAACUACUGGAAACGGUAGCUAAUACCGCAUACCAUCAGCUGUGCCUAGAUGGGAUUAGCUUGUUGGUGGGGUAACGGGGCACUAAGGCGACGAUCCCUAGCUGGUCCGAGAGGUUGACCGGCCGCAGUAAAACUGAGACACUGUCCAGACCCCUACGGGAGGCAGCAGUGGUGAAUAUGGGACAAUGCGCGCAAGCCUAAUGCAGCCAUGCCGCGUGUAUGAAGAGGGCCUUCGGGUUGUGAAGAACUUUCAGCGGGAAGGCGUUACCCGCAGGAGAAGCACCGGCUAACACCGUAACAGCGGGCGCGGUAAUUC